AACAAACACAGCAAUUAAUCGGAGGCGUCGGUGGGAGGCAUCAGAAACGAAGGCACCUCUGCAGGUCCUGCCUUUGGCACGCAGCACAGGUCCAGCCCCGGCUCCGAGCAAAGCAAAAGGGGUCUGCAGACACCUUUGGGUCUCUGCCGGCAGGAGUGAGGGGUGGGAGCUGCUGCUGGGGGUUCCUCCUCCGAUCCCUCACCUCCAGACCCACCGUCGGCUCUGCUCCCUCUCCCAACAGCCCUCCGAGAGCCGAAGGUCAGAGGGAGCCGAGGGUUUUUGCUAAGCCAACAGGUCCUGAAUGCUUUCAUUGCUUCCUGUCGCACUCAGCGUCGCUUCCAGUCCCACCUUCCGCCCUCCUUCUGCCUUUCUGUCCUCUCCAGGGAUCCCAGCAGCUCUUCCUGUUCCAAGCGGAUGAGCUGCACAUAAAGCACCCUCCCUCCUUCCUCAGCUCUCCCACCCAUAAGGGAGACCCAGAGCUGCAGGAAACACCAUAAGUGAGGUGUAAACUGCACAGCGUGGAUCCUCUGCUAUCAGAUGCAGCGCACUGCAAUGCAUGGGAUCGCAGUAAGGUGCAAUAUGGCUGCACAGCACGUUGCUGCAGCACAAAACUAUAGGAUAAGGCACCAUUUAUGCCUACACAACCUGUAAUACGGCACUGCAAGACAGAAACUAAGAUAGAAUAGAGAUUAAGAUACUUUAUGCCUGCGUGAUAGGUAUAAACAGGCAACACAGCACGAUAAUGCAUGAACUAUGGAAUAAAGUACAACCUGUCCCUGUAUCGUAUGGAAUACAGUGCUGUAAGACGUGGAGCAAUGUGCUUUAUCCCUAUAUAAUGAGUGAUACAGCACUGUAAUAAAUAAACUGUGGAUUGAGUGAUAAUCUAUGGCUAUAUAACGAGUAAUAUAGCACUGUAAUAAAUAAACUGUGGAUUGAGUGAUAAUCAAUGCCUAUAUAACAAGUAAUAUAGCACUGUAAUGCAUGAACUAUGGAUUGAGUGAUAAUCUAUGCCUGUAUAAUGAGUAAUAUAGCACUGUAAUAAAUAAACUAUGGAUUGAGUGAUAAUCUAUGGCUAUAUAAUGAGUAAUAUAGCACUGCAGUGCAUGAACUGUGGAUUGAGUGAUAAUCUAUGGCUAUAUAACGAGUAAUAUGGCACUGUAAUAAAUAAACUGUGAAUUGAGUGAUAAUCUAAGCCUAUAUAACGAGUAAUAUAGCACUACAAUGCAUGAACUAUGGAUUAAGUGAUAAUCUAUGCCUGUAUAAUGAGUAAUAUAGCACUGUAAUAAAUAAACUGUGGAUUGAGUCAUAAUCUAUGCCUAUAUAACGAGUAAUACAGCACUGUAAUAAAUAAACUGUGGAUUGAGUGAUAAUCUAUGGCUAUAUAAUAAGUAAUAUAGCACUGCAAUGCAUGAACUGUGGAUUUAGUGAUAAUCUAUGCCUGUAUAAUAAGAAAUAUAGCACUGUAAUAAAUAAACUGUGGAUUGAGUGAUAAUCUAUGGCUAUAUAAUGAGUAAUACAGCACUGCAAUGCAUGAACUGUGGAUUGAGUGAUAAUCUGUGCUUAUAUAACGAGUAAUAUGGCAUUGUAAUAAAUAAACUGUGGAUUGAGUGAUAAUCUAUGCCUGUAUAAUGAGUAAUAUGGCACUGUAAUAAAUAAACUGUGGAUUGAGUGAUAAUCAAUGCCUAUAUAACAAGUAAUAUAGCACUGUAAUGCAUGAACUAUGGAUUGAGUGAUAAUCUAUGCCUGUAUAAUGAGUAAUAUAGCACUGCAGUGCAUGAACUAGAGAGCAAUGCAUUAUUUAUUCCCAUGUAAUAAGUAAUAGAGGGCUAGAACACAUCAACUAUGGGGCAAGGCGUUACCUAUGCCUAUGUAACACACAGCACAGCACUGUAACAGAAAACAUGGCUUAAGGGAUGAUCCAAACCCACAGAGUGUGUAUAUAGCACAGAAAUUGAAGAUAAAUGCCCCAUAUAGCAUGUCUAUAGCACAGAAAUUGAAGAUAAAUGCCCAUAUAGCAUGUCUAUAGCACAGAAAUUGAAGAUAAAUGCCCAUAUAGCAUGUAUAUAGCACAGAAAUUGAAGAUAAUGCCCAUAUAGCAUGUCUAUAGCACAGAAAUUGAAGAUAAAUGCCCCAUAUAGCAUGUCUAUAGCACAGAAAUUGAAGAUAAAUGCCCCGUAUAGCAUGUCUAUAGCACAGAAAUUGAAGAUAAAUGCCCAUAUAGCAUGUAUAUAGCACAGAAAUUGAAGAUAAUGCCCAUAUAGCAUGUCUAUAGCACAGAAAUUGAAGAUAAAUGCCUCAUACAGCAUGUCUAUAGCACAGAAAUUGAAGAUAAAUGCCCAUAUUGCAUGUCUAUAGCACAGAAAUACAAGAUAAAUGCCCAUAUAGCAUGUCUAUAGCACAGAAAUUGAAGAUAAAUGCCUCAUAUAGCAUGUAUAUAGCACAGAAAUUGAAGAUAAAUGCCCAUACAGCAUGUCUAUAGCACAGAAAUUGAAGAUAAAUGCCCAUAUAGCAUGUAUAUAGCACAGAAAUUGAAGAUAAAUGCCCCAUAUAGCAUGUCUAUAGCACAGAAAUUGAAGAUAAAUGCCCAUAUAGCAUGUAUAUAGCACAGAAAUUGAAGAUAAAUGCCCCAUAUAGCAUGUCUAUAGCACAGAAAUUGAAGAUAAAUGCCCAUAUAGCAUGUAUAUAGCACAGAAAUUGAAGAUAAAUGCCUCAUAUAGCAUGUAUAUAGCACAGAAAUUGAAGAUAAAUGCCCAUAUAGCAUGUAUAUAGCACAGAAAUUGAAGAUAAAUACCCCAUAUAGCAUGUAUAUAGCACAGAAAUUGAAGAUAAAUGCCUAUAUAGCAUGUCUAUAGCACAGAAAUUGAAGAUAAAUGCCCCAUAUAGCAUGUCUAUAGCACAGAAAUUAAAGGUAAAUGCCCAUAUAGCAUGUAUAUAGCACAGAAAUUGAAGAUAAAUGCCCAUAUAGCAUGUCUAUAGCACAGAAAUUGAAGAUAAAUGCCCCAUAUAGCAUGUCUAUAGCACAGAAAUUGAAGAUAAAUGCCCCAUAUAGCAUGUAUAUAGCACAGAAAUACAAGAUAAAUGCCUCAUAUAGCAUGUAUAUAGCACAGAAAUUGAAGAUAAAUGCCCAUAUAGCAUGUAGAUAGCACAGAAAUUGAAGAUAAAUGCCCAUAUAGCAUGUCUAUAGCACAGAAAUUGAAGAUAAAUGCCCAUAUAGCAUGUAUAUAGCACAGGAAUUGAAGAUAAAUGCCCAUAUAGCAUGUCUAUAGCACAGAAAUUGAAGAUAAAUGCCCCAUAUAGCAUGUAUAUAGCACAGAAAUUGAAGAUAAAUGCCUCAUACAGCAUGUCUAUAGCACAGAAAUUGAAGAUAAAUGCCCCGUAUAGCAUGUAUAUAGCACAGGAAUUGAAGAUAAAUGCCCAUAUAGCAUGUAUAUAGCACAGAAAUUGAAGAUAAAUGCCUCAUAUAGCAUGUCUAUAGCACAUACAUUCAAGGUUAAGGGACAAUCUAUGCCUAUAUAACAUGCACUGUAACACAUAAAGGGCCAAUCUAACCCCACACAACAUCUACUAUAGUACUACAGCACAUACAUUAAGGAUUAAGGGCCAAUCUAAACCUAUAUAACAUGUACUAUAGUGCUACAGCACAUAGAUUAAAGAUUAAGGGCCAAUCUAAUCCCAUACAACAUGUACUACAGUACUGUAACACAUAAAUUAAGGAUUAAGGGCCAAUCUAAUCCCAUAUAACACGCAUAUAACACAUAGAUUAAAGAUUAAGGGCCAACCUAACCCCAUAUAGCCUCUACUAUAGUACUAUAACACAUACAUUAAGGAUUAAGGGCCAAUCUAAACCCUUAUAACUUGCAUAUAACACAUAAAUUAAAGAUCAAGGGCCAAUCUAAGCCCAUAUAACCUCUACUUUAACACAUAAAUUAAGGAUUAAGGGCCAAUCUAAGCCCUUACAACAUGAAUAUAACACACAGAUUAAAAUGGAGGGCCAACCUAACCCCAUAUAGCCUGUAUUAUAGUAAUAUAACACAUAAAUUAAAGAUCAAGGGACAAUCUAAUCCCAUAUAACAUGUACUACAGUACUGUAACACAUAAAUUAAGGAUUAAGGGCCAACCUAACCCCAUAUAGCCUGUACUAUAGUACUAUAACACAUACAUUAAGGAUAAAGGGCCAAUCUAAGCCCAUAUAAUAUGUAUGUAACACAUAAAUUAAAGAUCAAGGGCCAAUCUAAUCCCAUAAAACAUGCAUAUAACACAUAAAUUAAGGAUUAAGGGCCAAUCUAAGCCCUUACAACAUGAAUAUAACACAUAAAUUAAAGAUUAAGGGCCAACCUAACCCCAUAUAGCCUGUAUUAUAGUAAUAUAACAUAUAAUUUACAGAUCAAGGGACAAUCUAAACCUAUAUAACAUGCACUAUAGUAGUAUAGCACAUAAAUUAAAGAUUAAGGGAUAAUCUAACCCCAUAUACCACGUACUAUAGCACAUAGAUUAAGGAUUAAGGGCCAACCUAACCCCAUUUAGCCUGUACUAUAGUACUAUAACACAUAUAUUAAGGAUAAAGGGACAAUCUAAGCCCAUAUACCAUGUACUACAGCACAUAAAUUAAGGAUUAAGGGCCAAUCUAAGACCAUAUAACCUGUACUAUAGUACUAUAGCACAUAAAUUAAGGAUUAAAGGCCAAUCUAACCCCAUAUAACCUGUACUAUAGUACUAUAAAACAUAAAUUAAGGAUUAAGGGCCAAUCUAAGACCAUACAACACGUACUAUAGCACAUAAAUUAAGGAUUAAGGUACAAUCUAACCCCAUACAACAUGUACUAUAGUACUAUAGCACAUAAAUUAAGGAUUAAGGGCCAAUCUAAUCCAUAUAACACGCAUAUAACACAUAAAUUAAAGAUCAAGGGACAAUCUAAACCUAUAUAACAUGCACUACAGUUCUGUAACACAUAAAUUAAGGAUUAAGGACCAACCUAACCCCAUAUAGCCUGUACUAUAGUACUAUAACACAUAAAUUAAGGAUAAAGGGACAAUCUAAGCCCAUAUAAUAUGCAUGUAACACAUAAAUUAAAGAUCAAGGGCCAAUCUAAGCCCAUACAACAUCUACUAUAACACAUAAAUUAAGGAUUAAGGGCCAAUCUAAUCCCAUACAACAUGUACUACAGUACUGUAACAUAUAAAUUAAGGAUUAAGGGACAAUCUAAGCCCAUAUACCAUGUACUACAGCACAUAAAUUAAGGAUUAACGGCCAAUCUAAGACCAUACAACAUGUACUAUAGCACAUAAAUUAAGGAUUAAGGUACAAUCUAACCCCAUACAACAUGUACUAUAGUACUAUAGCACAUAAAUUAAGGAUUAAGGGAUAAUCUAAGCCCAUAUACCACGUACUAUAGCACAUAAAUUAAGGAUUAAGGGCCAAUCUAAUCCAUAUAACACGCAUAUAACACAUAAAUUAAAGAUCAAGGGACAAUCUAAACCUAUAUAACAUGCACUACAGUUCUGUAACACAUAAAUUAAGGAUAAAGGGACAAUCUAAGCCCAUAUAAUAUGCAUGUAACACAUAAAUUAAAGAUCAAGGGCCAAUCUAAGCCCAUACAACAUCUACUAUAACACAUAAAUUAAGGAUUAAGGGCCAAUCUAAUCCCAUACAACAUGUACUACAGUACUGUAACAUAUAAAUUAAGGAUUAAGGGACAAUCUAAGCCCAUAUAACAUGAACUAUAGCACAUAGAUUAAGGAUUAAGGGACAAUUUAACCCCAUAUAACCUGUACUAUAUUACUAUAACACAUAAAUUAAGGAUAAAGGGCCAAUCUGAGCCCAUACAACACGUACUAUAGCACAUAAAUUAAGGAUUAAGGUACAAUCUGAGCCCAUACAACAUGUACUAUAGUACUAUAGCACAUAGAUUAAGGAUUAAGGGCCAAUCUGAGCCCAUACAACACGUACUAUAGCACAUAAAUUAAGGAUUAAGGGCCAAUCUAACCCCAUAUAACCUGUACUAUAGUACUGUAACAUAUAAAUUAAGGAUUAAGGGCCAAUCUAAGACCAUACAACACAUACUAUAGCACAUAAAUUAAGGAUUAAGGUACCAUCUAACCCCAUACAACAUGUACUAUAGUACUAUAGCACAUAAAUUAAGGAUUAAGGGCCAAUCUGAGCCCAUACAACACGUACUAUAGCACAUAAAUUAAGGAUUAAGGGACAAUCUAACCCCAUACAACAUGUACUAUAGUACUGUAGCACAUAGAUUAAGGAUUAAGGGCCAAUCUGAGCCCAUACAACAUGUACUAUAGUACUAUAGCACAUAAAUUAAGGAUUAAGGGCCAAUCUGAGCCCACGCAAUGCCCAGCACGGUGCUACAACGCAGACUGAGGUGCAUCUACCAACUCAACGCGAAUGGGGGAUUACAAACACAGCCUUACACAGCACCAUGGAUUGGACACCUCGCCUAUCACCGCCUCAACGCUUCGUUAUCAAUUAGCUUGGCUAAUUAAACACAGGUUGACUUAAUUCACACGUGCAUUCCAACUCGUGGAAAAGCCAGGAGGGCUGGGAUCAGGAGGAAGACUUGGAAGUGGUGUUUCCAGGCUUGGUUUCGUGUCAGUGAUGUCUGUUAGGAAAAUCUCCUGCUUACUAUGGGGGAAAGAACCACAGAAUCCUAGAAUGGGUUGGGUUGGAAGGGUCCUUAAAGGUCACAGAACCAUGAAAUCAAACAAUGGGUUGGGUUGGAAGGGUCCUUAAAGGACACAGAACCAUGAAAUCAAACAAUGGGUUGGGUUGGAAGGGUCCUUAAAGGACACAGAACCAUGAAAUCACACAACAGGUUGGGUUGGAAGGGUCCUUAAAGAUCACAAAAAUAUAGGAAGGGUUGGAAGGGUCCUUAAAGGUCACAGAACCAUGGAAUGGGUUGGAAGAGUCUUUAAAGAUCCAAGAACCAUGGAAUGGAGUUGGGUUGGAAGGGUCCUUAAAGGUCACAGAACCAUGAAAUCAAACAAUGGGUUGGGUUGGAAGGGUCCUUAAAGGACAAAGAACCAUGGAAUCACACAGCGGGUCAGGAUGGAAGGGUCCUUAAAGGUCACAGAACCAUGGAAUGGGUUGGAAGGGUCCUUAAAGGUCACAGAACCAUGGAAUGGGUUGGAAGGGUCCUUAAAGGUCACAGAACCAUGGAAUGGGUUGGAAGGGUCCUUAAAGGUCACAGAACCAUGGAAUGGGUUGGAAGGGUCCUUAAAGGUCACAGAACCAUGGAAUGGGUUGGAAGGGUCCUCAAAGGUCACAGAACCAUGGAAUGGGUUGGAAGGGUCCUCAAAGGUCACAAAACCAUGGAAUGGGUUGGAAGGGUCCUUAUAGGUCACAGAACCAUGGAAUGGGUUGGAAAGGUCCUCAAAGGUCACAGAACCAUGGAAUGGGUUGGGUUGGAAGGGUCCUCAAAGGUCACAGAACCAUGGAAUGGGUUGGUUUGAAUGGAUCCUUAAAGGUCACAGAACCACGGGAUCAGAGCACGAUCAGAUUGCUAGGACCCCAAGGUCCCCCCAGCCCCACCUCUGCCAUAGGCUGCGUGCCCCCCACCAGCUCAGCCUGGCUCCCAUCUCUGCAGGGACGGAGCUCUGAUCCUCAUCACCCUGGAUAAAGAAUUCCCUCCUCACACGCAACCUCAAUCUCUUCUCUUUGAGCUUCAAACCAUCCCCCCUUGUCCCGUUAGGAGCCCCGCCGUUCCAGGGGCAGACAAGGAUGGGAAAAGGGCGAAUUGUUUUCCACCACCGCCCGCGAGCACAGAACGCUGCUACCAAACGCCUGCUUGUUUUUCUCUUUGGUGGCUCCACACGCAAAGCAAACCACAACGGAACCAAACAUUCCACCAGUGCAAAGGAGGAACCACGUGAGCUCCGAGCCAACCCCCAACAGAUCGAGGAGGAAGAAAGAAAAGUGAGAAUCGCAGCUCAGAGCGAAUUGCCGAGGGAAAUCCAGAGAUGGGAAGAAGCAGCAGCAAGAACUGGGAGCAGAGUGCUAAAGGAAAGCCAGGAUUCUCUCACAGCACACCAACUUUCCUGCUGGGCACGUCCUGAAUUGAGGAAAAGCAGCCACGAGGAAAGCAGCCAUCGGGGUUUGCCGUGCUCACCGUGCUU